ensembl:snRNA U1 U1 spliceosomal RNA
AUACUUUCCUGGCAGGGGAGAUACCAUUAUCCUGAAGGUGGUUUUCUCAGGGUGAGGCUCAUCCAUUGCACUCCGAAUGUGCUGACUCCUGUGAUUUCCCCAAAUGUGGGAAACUCGACUGCGUAAUUUGUGGUAGUGGGGGACUGUGUUCGUGCUCUAG